rnacentral:tRNA from 1 species
GCCGAAGUGGCGGAAAAGGUAGACGCAAUUGAUUCAAAAUCAAUCACUGUGAGGUGUGUCGGUUCGAGUCCGACCUUCGGUA